AACGAACGCUGGCGGCAGGCUUAACACAUGCAAGUCGAACGUGAAGUCACCUUCGGGUGAUGGAAAGUGGCAGACGGGUGAGUAACGCGUGGGAACCUACCUAGUGGUACGGUAUAACUCAGGGAAACUUGGGCUAAUACCGUAUGUGCCCGAAAGGGGAAAGAUUUAUCGCCAUUAGAUGGGCCCGCGUCGGAUUAGCUAGUUGGUAAGGUAACGGCUUACCAAGGCGACGAUCCGUAGCUGGUCUGAGAGGAUGAUCAGCCACACUGGGACUGAGACACGGCCCAGACUCCUACGGGAGGCAGCAGUGGGGAAUAUUGGACAAUGGGCGCAAGCCUGAUCCAGCCAUGCCGCGUGAGUGAUGAAGGCCCUAGGGUUGUAAAGCUCUUUCGGCGGGGACGAUAAUGACGGUACCCGCAGAAGAAGCCCCGGCUAACUCCGUGCCAGCCGCCGCCGUAAGAC
rnacentral:rRNA from 1 species